AUGUCCUUCAUGGUACCAGUUGGUACGUCAUGGUACAUCACCCCUGCCCCCAUCUCCCUCCCGAGCCCUGAAGCGCUGCUGCGUGAAGCAGGGUGGGGAGCAAGCCCGCUGGCCAGUGUCUGUACACGUUGCACCUCUAUGCGGGGCAGGCCUCCGGGCCAUUUCUCGCUUCCCCCUCCUUCAGCCUCUUCUGCUUUCUGUCCCCUCCGUUGCUCAGCAAAGAGCCUAGGAAGCGGCUUGCACUUCCCCCUUUUCCAGGACCCGGUGGCUGUUGCACCCAGAGGCAAAUCUCUGUGUGGGGCCACCCUUGGGCAUGGGCCUCCCGGGUGGGGGGCAACCGAGCUGGGGAUGCUCAGCAGCCACGACCCAAAGCGGAUGCUGCCUUUGGGGUGUGCUGGUGUGGGCAAAGCCCUGGGGCUCGAGCUCCUCCCGGAGGCGAGCAGCGCCCUCGGUCUCUGGCUGGCGAUGGAGCCGUGCGGCGCCUGCGGCACGGGGGCUUGUGCUGUCCCCCAGCCGGGGCAGGUAGGAAGCUGGGGCCCUCCUUGCCGUUGUCUCUGGACCCGCUCUUCCCCUCGCCCUGGGGUGUCAGCCUGCUCUUCCCCUCGCACCAGGGUGCCAUCUGUCCAGCCAGGGACAGAAGGACAGAGGAUCCCCACCAUGCAACACAGAGAGGGGCAGGGGCUGGCACAGCCCCCUGCAGCGAUGCCCCCAGGUCCUUGCCGCCGGGAGCAGCUUGAGGCCGGUGUAUUGAUCUCCCCCCCGCGAUGCCUGCCCGCGAAGGGCCUGAGCCGGGGGAGAGGGAACCUGCCUGGGGAACCGAUUCUGCCCUCGCUGCAGAUCUGGAGCAGGCAAUGGGGAGGGCCUGGAGGAAACUGCCUUCAGGCCCUGGUCCGUGGGGAAGGGACCCCCAUCUCCUCCUGGCGAUGCCCCAGGGCUGAGAGCAGCCCCCUUCCCCAAGCGGGUUGGCCACGUGGUGCACACGUCUUCAUGUGUCAAGGGUGUGACAACCCGCUAGGGUCAUGGGGUGGACAUGUGGGGCCAGCCGCUGGGUGGCUGCACCCGGGGCUGGGGCCAGGAGGAACCCAGGAGUCCAGGCACGGCCUCUGCCACCUCUCUGAAGCAAGCUGCGGCACGGGGCCAAGCCGGAGGYGGGUGGUGCCACCCCAGGCAAGCUGCAGGUGGGACCAGGGACAUGGUGUCAGACUCAGAGGACAAGUGUGGGAGUUGGAUGGGGAAGGCUGCACCGUUACCCCCCCCUCCCCCAGUCUAGUGGCCUACCAGUUCACUCAUUGUACUGGGAGCCAGGGGGGUGGGGGUGGAACAAGAAAAGAGUUUGGCAGUGCCGGCGCGGUUGGUCCAGCCUUGGCCUUGGUGGGUACGAGGGAGGCGGCUGAGCCACCCAGACGCCUGGGCUCCUGGCUGCUUGCUACCAUCUCUAACCCUUUGUGCCUCAGUUUCCCCACAGGUUGGGAGGCCGUGGAGGAGGCACGGGGCUCUGGGUUGCCCUUUGCCAUACCGUGUUGCUCCCUUCUCGGGGCACAAUACGGAUUUGCAAAAGCCACAGCCCCCUGCACUGCCUCCCCAGGUCAGCGGUGCCGCCCGGGCAGCUUUGGGAAGCUUGGUUGGAUGCCUGAGUUCCUGGUGGCGGCUGCGGGAGCUGGGCUUAGCGCCACGAGGUUGCAGCUUGGCACGCUACACGCACGCACAGCCUCCCUGCUCCUGAUAACCCCAGGAACACCCUGUUCCUGA
ensembl:lncRNA